rnacentral:rRNA from 1 species
UGGGGAAUAUUGCACAAUGGGCGCAAGCCUGAUGCAGCCAUGCCGCGUGAGUGAAGAAGGCCUUAGGGUUGUAAAACUCUUUCAUCGGUGAAGAUAAUGACGGUAGCCGAAGAAGAAGCCCCGGCUAACUCCGUGCCAGCAGCCGCGGUAAUACGGAGGGGGCGAGCGUUGUUCGGAAUUACUGGGCGUAAAGCGCACGUAGGCGGAUUGGUCAGUUGGGGGUGAAAUCCCGAGGCUUAACCUCGGAACUGCCCUCAAUACUGCCAAUCUAGAGAUCGGAAGAGGUAAGUGGAAUUCCUAGUGUAGAGGUGAAAUUCGUAGAUAUUAGGAAGAACACCAGUGGCGAAGGCGGCUUACUGGUCCGAUACUGACGCUGAGGUGCGAAAGCGUGGGGAGCAAACAGGAUUAGAUACCCCCGUAGUCC